GUCUAAUACACUCUUGGGAGAGGAUAGAAUACUUGAAGGAAUAAGGAAGAAGAGAUAAGAAGGUGUGAAGCUGGAUGAACACAGCAGGCCAAGCAGCAUCAGAGGAUCAGGAAAGCUGACAUUUUUGUUUUGUGGCAAAUGUGACUGAUCGGUCCAGCAACAACAGAGGUUAUUGCUGCAGCAGCAAAGAUGUAGAGUAAUAGAUGAAGAAGAGAUGCACCAGCAGCAAGACCCAGUAGAU